rnacentral:rRNA from 1 species
AAGUUUGCAGCUCAACUGUAAAAUUGCCUUUGAACUGGUAGUCUUGAAUUAUUAUGAAGUGGUUAGAAUAAGUAGUGUAGCGGUGAAAUGCAUAGAUAUUACUUAGAAUACCAAUUGCGAAGGCAGAUCACUAAUAAUAUAUUGACGCUGAGGGACGAAAGCGUGGGGAGCGAACAGGAUUAGAUACCCUGGUAGUCCACGCCGUAAACGAUGGAUACUAGCUGUUCGGAUUUAUCUGAGUGGCUAAGCGAAAGUGAUAAGUAUCCCACCUGGGGAGUACGUUCGCAAGAAUG